rnacentral:rRNA from 1 species
UACGAAGGUGUCUAGCGUUUUUCGGAAUCACUGGGCUUAAAGAGCACGUAGGCGGAGAUGAAAGUGGCUUGUGAAAUCGCUCGGCUUAACCGAGGAAUCGGCGGGAAGACUACAUCUCUUGAGGCAAGCAGGGGUGUGUGGAACUCUUGGUGGAGCGGUGGAAUGCGUAGAUAUCAAGAGGAACGCCGAAGGUGAAGACAGCACACUGGGCUUGUCCUGACGCUGAGGUGCGAAAGCGUGGGGAGGAAACGGG